rnacentral:rRNA from 1 species
UCAGACGAUGCGUCAUGCAUAUCAAUAAGCGGAGGAAAAGAAACUAACAAGGAUUCCCUUAGUAACGGCGAGUGAAGCGGGAAGAGCUCAAAUUUGAAAUCUUCAAGGUUUUACCUUGACGAAUUGUAGUUUAAAGAAGUGUUUUCUGUUGAAGUUUUGGUAAAAGUUCUUUGGAAUAGGACAUCAUAGAGGGUGAGAAUCCCGUCUUUGACUCGAUUAUUUUCAGCUGUUGAUGAUACACUUUUCCAAAGAGUCAGGAUUGUUUGGGAAUGCAGUCCUAAAUUGGGUGGUAAAUCUCAUCCUAAAGCUAAAUAUUGGCGAGAGACCGAUAGCGAACAAGUACCGUGAGGGAAAGAUGAAAAGAACUUUGAAAAGAGAGUUAAACAGUACGUGAAAUUGUCAAAAGGGAAGCGUUUGACACCAGUGUUGUUUUCUCGAAAAUCAAUUAAAAAUGGCUUCGAUUUUGUAUUGCUGUAUGACCUUAAAAGCUGCACUGUACAAUUUUCGUGUCUUUUUUAAUGCACUUUUCGUUUAACAAGUCAACAUCAGUUUCUUUUGUUGUAAAAAGGUCAUUGGAAGGUGGCUUUCUUUUCGGAGAAAGUGUUUAUAGCCUUUGACUCCUGCAAUCGGAGAGACUGAGGUCUGCAGCGUAGACUCUUCGGGGUUAGAUACAUUUGUGCUAAGUUAUAGCUUUUUAUAGACAACUUGUUGACUAUAAUUAGUCUUGUAGCUUACUCGCUUAUGCUAUUUUACCUACGCUUAGGAUGUUGAGUCGUAGAGCACGCAG